CCGUGACAAGUCACCAUGGGGUGGCAGUUAGGGACAACACAGAUUUUUCAUCACAGGUGCACAGAUUAGUCCUGUUACAGCUCUGAGGUCAGGAGCGCUAAGGUCAGCGGGCUGCAGAUCUCCCAGCCGCUCUUGCAGAGGCGGGGGCGGGGGGCGUCUGUCCCCUUGCCAUGCCCCACUGCAGAGGCACCUGCCCUCCUCGCCUCCAACUGCAGACAGCAGUGUCUUCAAGCCCCCCCCCACCCCUCCGCUUCCAGCACCACGUGGGUUUCUGCCUCGGACCUGGCCCCGUUUUCUAAGGUCUCUUGGGAUUACAGAGGCUGGCCCAACAGUCCGGGAUGGACUUCCAUCUCAAGAUCCACAGCUUAGACCUUCUGCAUGGUCCCCUUUGCCCCGUAAGGGAUGUAGUCACAGAGCUGGGAUUAGGAUGGGGAUGGCUUCGGGGACAAUCUCCAUCCCCCACACCCCAUACACGGGACUGCUUGUACCGGGGCCCAGUAUGAGGAUGUGAGACACCCCCCUCGGUGCAGACCUUCCCCAGCUUCUCUUUUUCUCCCUUUUGCCCGAGUGGAGGGGGAGGUGGUUUUGCAAAUGGGGGGAACGUGUCCUGCCCUGAUUCACAGGAGAGACCCACCACCACACGGGGACACCCGCCCGGAUGCUGCCCAUCCAGUGGUGCCCCUGACUCUCGAGCAGCUGGUCCAGACGUUUGCAGCUGGCACAGAACGGAGCAGAGGGCAGCGCCUCACAGGCUGUUCCCACACCUGGUCCCCUCACAAUGCGGUGCUAGGAAAACAACCCUGCGUGCCUCCCAACAGGUACCAACCAGAAAGCAAACGGCCCCCCGGGACUGGGAAGGGCAGCCCCUCCCACGAAGUCCGCACCUGCCUCUGAGCGCGGUACAGCUGCCCCUUUCUCUGCGGCAAGUACGCGGUCGGAAGGAAGCCUUCCCUUGUCCUCCCCCCAGACACCCUGGUGCCACCCCAACAUUACUAAUCGUGAGAUGAACAAAAACGUCACAAAUCAAGCGAGUGGCCCCUUCUUUGGGGUGGUCCCAAGGGUCUGGAUUCACCCUGUGGGGAGCAAGACUGCUGGGUCGUAUGCCCCUGGGUAGUGAAGGGGACCACCUUCCUCCUGGCCGGGCUGCUGAUGGGGGUUCGCAAGAACGAUGAGAUGGGCUUGAAUCUCAGAUUCCAAAGUCAAAAGAGCAAGAAACUCCAUUUUCCUUUUUUUUAAAGACUUUUAUUUAUUUAUUUGAAAGACACACAGAGAUAGUGACAGAACAAGCAGGGAGGAGAGGGCGAAGCAGGCUCCCCGCUGAGCAGGGAAACUCCAUUUUCUUUAAAUUCUAUAAUUCUGGUUCGGACUAGCCCCCCGUUCUGAUGCAACGGCAGGAAAGCCCAGUUCCAUCCCUUUUAGCUUCCAGAAUGGGCCUCUUUGUGAGGACAGGUUCUGAGAACAGAGCUGUGCUGGAGAAAGCCCGGGAAGGAAGUUUAUCACUGUUUGGUGCAAGUUUGCAAUUCUACCAGCGAGGAAGAAGCCAAGAAACAAAGAUCCCUGAGCACCUGUGCGUUCGUAAGCCUACACUGACCCCUGCUGACGGGCUCUGGGAAUGGCCUCCCGUGAC
ensembl:lncRNA